rnacentral:rRNA from 1 species
UACGAAGGGGGCUAGCGUUGUUCGGAAUUACUGGGCGUAAAGGGCUCGUAGGCGGCCAACUAAGUCAGACGUGAAAUCCCUCGGCUUAACCGGGGAACUGCGUCUGAUACUGGAUGGCUUGAGUUUGGGAGAGGGAUGCGGAAUUCCAGGUGUAGCGGUGAAAUGCGUAGAUAUCUGGAGGAACACCGGUGGCGAAGGCGGCAUCCUGGACCAACACUGACGCUGAGUGAGCGAAAGCGUGGGGAGCAAACAGG